rnacentral:rRNA from 1 species
AUUGAACGCUGGCGGCAGGCCUAACACAUGCAAGUCGAACGGUAACAGGAAGCAGCUUGCUGCUUUGCUGACGAGUGGCGGACGGGUGAGUAAUGUCUGGGAAACUGCCCGAUGGAGGGGGAUAACUACUGGAAACGGUAGCUAAUACCGCAUAACGUCGCAAGACCAAAGAGGGGGACCUUAGGGCCUCUUGCCAUCGGAUGUGCCCAGAUGGGAUUAGCUAGUAGGUGGGGUAACGGCUCACCUAGGCGACGAUCCCCAGCUGGUCUGAGAGGAUGACCAGCCACACUGGAACUGAGACACGGUCCAGACUCCUACGGGAGGUAGCAGUGGGGAAUAUUGCACAAUGGGCGCAAGCCUGAUGCAGCCAUGCCGCGUGUAUGAAGAAGGCCUUCGGGUUGUAAAGUACUUUCAGCGGGGAGGAAGGGAGUAAAGUUAAUACCUUUGCUCAUUGACGUUACCCGCAGAAGAAGCACCGGCUAACUCCGUG